rnacentral:rRNA from 1 species
UGAGGAAUAUUGGGCAAUGGGCGAAAGCCUGACCCAGCGACGCCGCGUGUGGGAUGACGGGGCUUGUCCUUGUAAACCACUGUCGGGAGGGAAGAAAAGCCGGGUUGCCCGGCUGGGACUGUACCUCCAAAGGAAGGACCGGCUAACUACGUGCCAGCAGCCGCGGUAAUACGUAGGGUCCGAGCGUUGUCCGGAUUUACUGGGUGUAAAGGGUGCGCAGGCGGGCUUGUACGUCAGAGGUAAAAUCCCCCGGCUCAACCGGGGACCUGCCUUUGAUACGGCAAGUCUUGAGUGCGAGAGAGGAUGGUGGAAUUCCUGGUGUAGCGGUGAAAUGCGUAGAUAUCAGGAGGAACACCCGUGGCGAAGGCGGCCAUCUGGCUCGCAACUGACGCUCAGGCACGAAAGCGUGGGGAGCAAACAGG